UCCCUGGAGGACUAGUGGUUAGGCCUCAGCGCUCCCACCGCUACGGCCCGGGUUUGAGUCCCGGCCAGGGAA